GAUGUUUAGUAAUUUGGAUGAAUUUCAUGUAUGCCACCAAGCCCUGCCAAGAAACCCUUCCUAAUGCUGUCUCAAAGGAGAGGCAGCAUACUUUAAUCCAAAAAAAAAAAAAAAAAAAAAAAAAUCAAAGGGAGAAUUUGUAUCCCUUAAAGUAUUUUCAAAAAAUUUGUCACACAUCUCUUGACUGCCCACCAGAUUUAUUUUCAGACCUCCUUCUUCAUAUAUGGAGGAGUGGAUGAAAAAAGCUAGGCUUUAGAAAAAGCUAAGUCUGGAGUUCAGGGUUUGAGGUAGCGGGAUUUAAGAAGUACCAUCCUUAAACGGGCAAACAGCUUUAAGAUCCGUGGUCGUUUGAUGUGUGCCUUUGAGAGCGUGUCCCUCAGUUAGAUCAAAUCUGAUUGAGGUCUGGCUAUUUCGAGACACUCCAGCUUCUCGUAACCUGCAGCGAGCUGGAACGGUGCCCGAGAACUCAAAGGGCUACAGACGCUACGAUAAAGGCAACAUAUGCCUCGAAUGAGACUCUUAUGACCGCUCUGGACCAAUGUGAUCGGACUGCAGUAAGGACACUUACAAGACUCCACAACUUUACAUAGAAUGAGCUUGAGAUCUUAUUGAUUUACCAGGAAAUCUUCUUCGCCACUAAAGCUCUGAAAUGGCAUUAGCAUCUGCAUUACGACUCCAAAAAAAGCACGUGGACACAUUGAGCCAGGUUUGACGUCAUUGACGGCAAACAACAUUGGUUCUCGGCAUGUUGUGACAGUUUGAAUAUGCUGAAUUAGAUCUGAGAGCUGCAGUGGAGAACAAGAUCAUCCAAGAUCUAAUUUCAGUUUCUCUCACAAAAAGGGAAAGAGCUGCAUAAAAUAAAGUAAAAAAAUUCUCACCAAUGGUUCAAUACAAAAAAUAACAGCAUACAGUUUUGCAAUAGGGUCAUUACACCCAAGAUGGCGGCGCGAGUACAUCGCGAGGCUCUGGGUCUCUCCAGAUUUUGCAAUUUUGCGGUAUUUUUCUUACUCAUCUCGGGCCUGUUCGUGCAGAACAGCUGUGCCUUUACAUCGUACACCCGUUGUGAGCUUUUGGAUCAACCAUUGUAUAUACUGCACUUGCUACUAUUGCACUUCUGGUUAGACCUAAACUGCAUUUUGUUGCCCUGUACCUGUACUUGUGUAAUGACAAUAAAGUUGAAUCUAAUCUAAUCUAAUCUAAUUUUCAUUAACGGUAAUGCUUUAGAUUAGGGAACACAUAUUCACUAUUAACUAAGAGUUUUCCCUGAGUAAACUUCUAAUUUGCUACUUAUUAAUAUUUAGUAAUGUCGUUAAGUUUAGGUAUGGGGAAGGAUUAAGGGAUCUGAAAUAUGUUCAUGCAGAAUAAGGCAUUAAUGUGUAUUUUAUCGCUACCAAUAAACCUCCAAUAUGCUAGUAAUAUGCAUGUUAAUAAGCAACUUGUUAAUAGUGAGAACUGGUUUAUUAAAUAAAUAAAUAGAUAGAUAGAUAGAUAGAUAGAUAGAUAGAUAGAUAGAUAAGACAAGAGCUAAUAACAAUAUCACUAAAAAUGUAACGAAAAUAAAAGCUAAUUAAUUAUAUUUUUUUAAAAAUUAAUAUAUGAACGAAAACUGUAAUAGUUCGGAAAUAAUACUAAAAUAAUACUAGUUUGCAUAAGGUUGAAUUAAACAAAAUGAGCAAACUGUCAUUUAUUGGUGAACAAUUACUUUAAAGAUAACCUUAGUGUUGCUGGCGAAAUACUCAAUUUGAGCUACAGAAAAACCUGCCUUUAAAAUAAAAAACAAGCACUGACAAAUUGUUCACAAUAAGACUGGGAAUGUGCAUUAAAAAAACAGUAAAUAGGGUCCGUUUUGAUUUCAUGCUGACUUUAACAGUGUUUUCUGGAAGUGUACACAGCAAGCGUGUAAAGGUAGACAUGCUCUCGGAUUAAUUUCUAAGCCCUGCUCAAGCCCUGGGACAGAGGAUCAAACCAAAUGAAAAAUAAAUAAAUAAAUCAAUAAGAUGUUUUUUUUAAGAAGGGAAAAAAGCAAAGUGGCACAUUGAAACAAGCCCGAGGGCUGGAGAGAGCGGCUGAAAUAACACAGAGGGAGGAUUGAGGGAGUCUGCAUGCUGGAUGAUUUGAGGGGGAUUAUCCAUUAUGAGCUCCGAGAUGCUGGAAACUUCAGCCCACUGCAGAGGCGCUUCCCACUGACACCAGUACACACAGCUCAAGGUCACGCAUGUAAGAGAAUGACACACUCCGUAUGACUCAAAUGUGGCCUUGGAGCGCGUCGAGGCGUCUGUAGGCGUUUUCAUUUCCCAAUUUCUGCAGUAAAACACCGUCGCUGCCGAACACAGCAAAUGAAACCUGUUUUCACCAGUGAUUUCUUACUUAGCAGCUAUUUCCUAUCUAGGUAACGGGCAUUAGGUUAAACUACAGAAAAUUACCAAUAAACCCUGACAAUGACGUUAUAGAUGUUGCCUCUCUGGCUCAAAUCGUACUCCAAAAAGCGUUUAAAAAAAAUAAAUAAUGCAACAAAUGCUUUUAGCUAAUAUGCAUGCAACAAAACAAGGCAGUGCUUUUACUAAUGAGUUGAUUUGUUCAUUUAAUCAAAAACGCAGGAUGCACAACAGCUGGUUUCUGUUCCCUUUACAGUAAAUAACUAAUACCCUUUGCAUCAUGGGAAUUUUCUGUGACGUCAGACCCCACAUACAGAGACUUGCAGAAAAUUGCUGUAUACUACUGUAUUUGUUGUAACAGCCUCUUUGGCGCCUUUCUAUUGAGUCUGUUUUAUUUCCUCAUUUCUUACAUUUAGAUUGACACGAUUUGCCCUGCACCGUGUCUACAACGCCGCAACAGCUUAGGACUGACUACACUGGACGUGUUACAUCGCUUGUAAUGAUUGGAAAAUCCAUUUGUCGUUCGUGUUAGAAACAGCGCGAGCGCUUGGAGUACAUCUGUAUGUCAGAAAUAUACCGGGGCAUCACUUUACUGUCCACAUCCAAUGUAGAUAGUAUAUAUAAUAGAUUCUAUAUUGUCUUUUGUUGAGUCGUGCCGCGCCACUCGCCUCCGAGGAAGACACGGAAGCAGCAGGGCAGCGAGACUGGAAGAGCUCUGGAGAACAUCUACGCUGUGUGUCGAUGCACCUUACGAGAGAAUAAGGCCAGCAAGCAAGGCAACUGCAGUGAAGCAUCAAGAAAGACAUGAGCAGGCCAGCCACCCUGAGACUGAUAAUUCAUGAGAAGACAUUUCUGUCACUAACAAAGUGGAGGGUGAGCAAAGGUGGUGGCCACGUUUUGGAGCAGAAACAGGGUUUUGUAUUAUUUGGCUGCUUGUCUUUUUUCCCCUAUUAUGUUUCUGUUGCCUAAAGAUUCUUUGUGAGGAUGAAUCCAGAGGAUUCAACAAAAUGCACUUCAAAACGUCCUAAGACAGGAGAAAUGGUGAAGAUGCACUGUUCCAGAGUUGGAAGACUGUAUUUUAAGUGUUGUACAUGCAAUGUUUUAAAUAAAGAAUGUGUUAUUUUGUAAUUAUUGUGUCUGUUUUAAUUGAAUGCCAGUAGUACCUAUGUAGAGUAAAAAUAAAAUGAAUUCUAUAUAAAAAUUAUAAAAUCUAAUUAAAUCUAUAUUAAAAUGAAUGAAUUACAGUAUACUGAUGAAUUGUAAUUUACUGUAAAACAGUACAGUUUGCAACUGUAAAUCUUAAUUACAGUAUCUUACUGGCAACAUUCAACAGAGCGA